rnacentral:rRNA from 1 species
CCUACGGGAGGCAGCAGUGGGGAAUAUUGCACAAUGGGCGCAAGCCUGAUGCAGCAACGCCGCGUGAGGGACGACGGCCUUCGGGUUGAAACCUCUUUUGGCAGGGAAGCGGUACCUGCAGAAAAAGCACCGGCUAACUACGUGCCAGCAGCCGCGGUAAUACGUAGGGUGCAAGCGUUGUCCGGAAUUAUUGGGCGUAAAGAGCUCGUAGGCGGUUUGUCGCGUCUGCUGUGAAAACGCGAGGCUCAACCUCGCGCCUGCAGUGGGUACGGGCAGACUAGAGUGUGGUAGGGGAGAUUGGAAUUCCUGGUGUAGCGGUGGAAUGCGCAGAUAUCAGGAGGAACACCGAUGGCGAAGGCAGAUCUCUGGGCAUACUGACGCUGAGGAGCGAAAGCGUGGGGAGCGAACAGGAUUAGAUACCCUUGUAGUC